UACGUAGGGUGCAAGCGUUGUCCGGAAUUAUUGGGCGUAAAGAGCUCGUAGGCGGCUUGUCGCGUCGUCCGUGAAAACCUGCAGCUCAACUGCAGGCUUGCGGUCGAUACGGGCAGGCUAGAGUUCGGUAGGGGAGACUGGAAUUCCUGGUGUAGCGGUGAAAUGCGCAGAUAUCAGGAGGAACACCGGUGGCGAAGGCGGGUCUCUGGGUCGAUACUGACGCUGAGGAGCGAAAGCGUGGGGAGCGAACAGG
rnacentral:rRNA from 1 species